rnacentral:rRNA from 1 species
CGGCCAGACUCUACGGAGGCAGCAGUGGGAAUAUGCACAAUGGGCGAAAGCUGAUGCAGCGACGCCGCGUGGGGAUGACGGCUUCGGGUUGUAAACCUCUUCAGUAGGGAAGAAGCGAAAGUGACGGUACCUGCAGAAGAAGCGCCGGCUAACUACGUGCCAGCAGCCGCGGUAAUACGUAGGGCGCAAGCGUUGUCCGGAAUUAUUGGGCGUAAAGAGCUCGUAGGUGGCUUGUCGCGUCUGCCGUGAAAACCCGAGGCUCAACCUCGGGCGUGCGGNNNUACGGGCAGGCUAGAGUGUGGUAGGGGAGACUGGAACUCCUGGUGUAGCGGUGAAAUGCGCAGAUAUCAGGAAGAACACCGAUGGCGAAGGCAGGUCUCUGGGCCAUUACUGACACUGAGGAGCGAAAGCAUGGGUAGCGAACAGGAUUAGAUACCCUGGUAGUCCAUGCCGUAAACGUUGGGCACUAGAUGUGGGGGACAUUCCACGUUUUCCGCGUCGUAGCUAACGCAUUAAGUGCCCCGCCUGGGGAGUACGGCCGCAAGGCUAAAACUCAAAGGAAUUGACGGGGGCCCGCACAAGCGGCGGAGCAUGCUGAUUAAUUCGAUGCAACGCGAAGAACCUUACCAAGGCUUGACAUGCACCGGACGGCCGCAGAGAUGUGGCUUUCUUCGGACUGGUGCACAGGUGGUGCAUGGUUGUCGUCAGCUCGUGUCGUGAGAUGUUGGGUUAAGUCCCGCAACGAGCGCAACCCUUGUUCUAUGUUGCCAGCACGUCAUGGUGGGGACUCAUAGGAGACUGCCGGGGUCAACUCGGAGGAAGGUGGGGACGACGUCAAAUCAUCAUGCCCCUUAUGUCUUGGGCUUCAAGCAUGCUACAAUGGUCGGUACAAUGGGUUGCGAAACUGUGAGGUGGAGCGAAUCCCAAAAAGCCGGCCUCAGUUCGGAUUGGGGUCUGCAACUCGACCCCAUGAAGUCGGAGUCGCUAGUAAUCGCAGAUCAGCACGUGCG